AAAAUGACAAACCCUGAGUUUCCGUGUCCAACGUUUGACCGUCCGUCUUAUUUGAAAAUAAUAUGAAAAAAAUUAAAAAGACAAGUUACGCAUAAAGUAUUAAUCAUGUUUUAUCAUCUAACAACAAUGAAAAUACUAAUUAUAAAAAAACAUCAUAUAAAACGGAUAGUCAAAUGUUGGACACGGAAACUCAGGUUGUCUUUUUU
rfam:Oryza rufipogon genomic scaffold, chr04